GUACUCUCACACUCCCGAUCUUGUUGGGAGCGGUGGACUUGGGUGUUGCUGCUUACCGUGGCUCACCUCAAAUGGAUUCGUGCAUCUCUUGGUUGGACAUAGUACGGCGUGAUAAGUGUCUUCGCCGGCGCCUCACUAGAGGGUGGCCGAUCGGGAGCUCUGUGCUUCUAACCGUCUUCGGACAACAACUGACA
rnacentral:misc_RNA from 1 species